UACCCGGUGGUGUAACGGUAACACAAGGGACUUUGGCUCCCUAAUUCCAGGUUCGAAUCCUGGCCGGGUAG
rnacentral:tRNA from 3 species